rnacentral:rRNA from 1 species
CACGUAGGGUGCGGGCGUUGUCCGGAAUUAUUGGGCGUAAAGAGCUCGUAGGCGGUGUGUCGCGUCGGCCGUGAAAACCUGCAGCUCAACUGUGGGCUUGCGGUCGAUACGGGCAUCACUGGAGUUCGGCAGGGGAGACUGGAAUUCCUGGUGUAGCGGUGAAAUGCGCAGAUAUCAGGAGGAACACCGGUGGCGAAGGCGGGUCUCUGGGCCGAUACUGACGCUGAGGAGCGAAAGCGUGGGGAGCAAACAGG